rnacentral:rRNA from 1 species
GACAUAGGUGGCAAGCGUUAUUCGGAAUUACUAGGCGUAAAGCGAGUGUAGGCGGGCGCUUAAGUCCGACGUUAAAUCUCCAGGCUUAACUUGGAGCUGUCGUUGGAUACUGGGUGUCUCGAGAGGGGUAGGGGGCAGUGGAAUUCCCGGUGUAGCGGUGAAAUGCGUAGAGAUCCGGAGGAACACCAGUGGCGAAGGCGGCUUUCUGGGUCCGCCCUGACGCUGAGGCGCGAAAGCGUGGGGAGCGAACGGGAUUAGAAACCC